rnacentral:rRNA from 1 species
AUUGAACGCUGGCGGCAGGCCUAACACAUGCAAGUCGAACGAGUGGCGGACGGGUGAGUAAUGUAUGGGAAACUGCCUGAUGGAGGGGGAUAACUAAUGGAAACGGUAGCUAAUACCGCAUACCAUCAGAUGUGUCCAGAUGGGAUUAGCUAGUUGGGGGGGUAACGGCUCACCAAGGCGACGAUCUCGAGCUGGACUGAGAGGAUGAACAGCAACACUGGAACUGAGACACGGUCCAGACUCCUACGGGAGGCAGCAGCGGGGAAUAUUGGACAAUGGGCGCAAGCCUGAUGCAGCCAUGCCGCGUGUAUGAAGAAGGCCUUCGGGUUGUAAAGUACUUUCAGCGGGGAGGCGUUACCCGCAGAAUAAGCACCGGCUAACUCCGUGCCAGCAGCCGCGGUAAUAC